rnacentral:misc_RNA from 1 species
GCUGCCCUAAAAUGAGCAAGUAUGAAUUCAAAAUUAUCACACCAUCACUUUCACAUAUGUCAAGUUGUGAUUUUGAUGCUGUUUAUGAACCAGCUGAGGAUACAUUUUUGCUUAUUGAUGCCUUGGAAGAUGAUCUACAGUUAAUCAGUACACUCAAACCCUCAGUGUGCUUGGAAGUUGGAAGUGGUUCUGGGGCUAUAAUUACAGCUAUAUCUAUGUUUCUUGGUAACAGCUGUCACUGCAUGGCUACAGAUAUCAGUUUUGUGGCUUGUAAAGCAACACAGAAAACAAGUCUCUAUAACAGCGCAAAUGUUGAUACAAUAAAUACUGAUUUGGCCAGUGCUGUAGUACUUCGGGGAGUAGUGGACAUAUUGAUAUUUAAUCCUCCAUAUGUUGUAACUCCUUCAGAAGAGAUAAGCUCAUGUGGCAGAAGUGAUGACAUAACACGCUCUUGGGCUGGCGGAUUGAAAGGGAGGGAGAUCUUAAACUACAUUCACACUCUGGAGACCACUACAAAGUGUGUGGCAGAAGUAUGUGCACGACAUACUGAAGAAUGGAAAAAUGAGUCUCACUAACCAUUUCAUGGGCAAAAUAGAUAGGGAGGGGAACUGAAUCAUGUUGGAUUUGAAAUAUUACAAUUAAUAGGUGAUGGAUCGUAUUUUCUCACAAGUGCCAUUACUGUUAUCAGAGACAGGUGUCUUCUAUCUUCUGGUUAUUUCUGAUAACUGUCCUUCUGAAAUUGAAAAAAUUAUGAACAGUGUGGGAUUUUCAAUGAAUAUUCU